CUGGUGAGGCCCCUCUCCGCACCCGGCUCCCCGGGGUUUUGCUGCAGGGGGUUUCCAGCAAAAGCUGCCCCAGAAAGUCGCUGAAAUGCCGGGGCUGAAACCUUGCUGCCCUCGGGGGCCAGAGGUUUGGGGGGAGCCAAAAGCUGGGUGGGAACGGGUGCAGGGGGGGGCGGGGGAUGGCCCCGGGGUCCCCACACCAGGCUGGAGCCGUCGCACCCUGCUCUUCCCUGCCAUCCGGGGGCUUCCCGAGCAUCCGCCCGCUCCGGGCCAUGCUGGCCGGCUGGUCCUAGCAGCGGGACCGUGCAGCGGGAGGCUCCGCUCCAGCCACAGCACCGGCUGUGUGCCAGGACGGCCGCCGACCCGGGCACCGCUGCUCCUGCUCCGCCUGGCGGUUUCCUCCUCCAGGCAUCGCCCAGCUGGAGCAGUGUGGGGUGCCGGGGUGAUUUUCCCAGUGCACGUGCACAUUGCACAGCGGCAGGACCGGGGCUCCGCGGUGCCACUGCCGGUGCCGCCCCGGGAGCAACGGCGAUUACACCCCGUCGCAGCAAGCAGCGUGGCAGCGCUGGGACCCACAGGGCGCCUCGCGUUGGCAUCGCGGCCCCUCUCCAGCAGCCCCCGCRGCUGCGUGCACGUGCAGCCCCGCGUGUGCGGCGCGAGCGGCAGCGCUGACCCGACGCCACGUCCUUGCCCCGCUCGCCAGCGUGCGCCGCUCCAGGAAGGCCACUUGUUCGGAAGGACGCACGCCUGUUACCGCGAGGUCGCGGCUCCUGCCGUGAAAACURGCUCUUUUGUUCCACUUGUUUUUUUUCCGAGCCACUUCCCUCCCUGCUUUGCUCCCCUCCGCGCAGGUGACGUUGGCGGCGCUUUGCAGGCGGUCAAGGAGAGCAUCCGCAGAGCGCGUUUGCGGAGGAGCUCUAAAGAUCGCUGCUUGCUUGACUCACCUGCAAGGUCGGCGCUGCGAGCACACAGCCCGGCGGCAGCCGUGGCCCCUCUGCGCUGCGCAGCGCGUCGUGCCGCCGGGCACGGAGACCCCGC
rnacentral:lncRNA from 1 species